CCUACGGGGGGCUGCAGUCGAGAAUCUUCCGCAAUGGACGAAAGUCUGACGGAGCGACGCCGCGUGAUUGAUGACGCACUUCGGUGUGUAAAGAUCUUUUAUGAGGGAAGAAGUUUAUUGACGGUACCUCAUGAAUAAGGGGCUCCUAAUCUCGUGCCAGCAGGAGCGGUAAUACGAGAGCCCCGAGCGUUAUCCGGAAUUAUUGGGCGUAAAGGGUGCGUAGGUGGUUGUGUUAGUCGUUUGUCAAAUCCUUGGGCUUAACCCAAGAACCGCGAACGAAACGGCACAACUUGAGAAUGUGAGGGGUAAAGGGAACUCAUGGUGUAGGGGUGAAAUCCGUUGAUAUCAUGGGGAACACCAAAAGCGAAGGCACUUUACUGGCACAUUUCUGACACUCAAGCACGAAAGCGUGGGUAGCGAAUGGGAUUAGAUACCCCAGUAGUC
rnacentral:rRNA from 1 species